rnacentral:rRNA from 1 species
CCUACGGGAGGCAGCAGUAGGGAAUCUUCCACAAUGGGCGAAAGCCUGAUGGAGCAACGCCGCGUGGGUGAAGAAGGUCUUCGGAUCGUAAAACCCUGUUGUUAGAGAAGAAAGUGCGUGAGAGUAACUGUUAACGUUUCGACGGCAUCUAACCAGAAAGCCACGUCUAACUACGUGCCAGCGGCCGCGGUAAUACGUAGGUGGAAAGCGUUAUCCGGAUGUAUUGGGCGUAAAGGGAACGCAGGCGGUCUUUUAAGUCUGAUGUGAAAGCCUUCGGCUUAACCGGAGUAGUGCAUGGGAAACUGGGAGACUUGAGUGCAGAAGAGGAAAGGGGAACUCCAAGUGUAGCGGUGAAAUGCGUAGAUAUAAGGAAGAACACCAGUGGCGAAAGCGGCUCUCUGGUCUGUAACUGACGCUGAGGUUCGAAAGCGUGGGUAGCAAACAGGAUUAGAUACCCGAGUAGUC